rnacentral:rRNA from 1 species
AUUAUAGGUAGGGGAGCGUUCUGGUCUCGGGUGAAGUUUAUACGUAAGUAUGGAUGGACGAACCAGAAGUGAGAAUGUUGGCUUGAGUAACGAAAACAUCGGUGAGAAUCCGAUGCCCCGAAAACCUAAGGGUUCCUCCACUAGGCUCGUCCAUGGGGGGUUAGUCAGGACCUAAGACCAGGCCAAAUGGCGUCGUCGAUGGAAAACAGGUUAAUAUUCCUGUACGAAUUUUAUUAAGAUCUGGGGGACGAAGGAGGCUACUCUAAAACUGUUUUUGGAUUGCAGUGGAAGCGUUUAGGUUGAGAGAUAGAAUAAAAACUAUCUUUUUGGUCUCUGGCCAAAAAACUGAGACGUGAUCCCUGUCUUAUGGUUCGCCAUAAGAUAGUUAGAAUAUGUCAAACUUCCAAGAAAAUCCCAUACAUCUAUAUAAUAAAGUUCCCUGUACCUGAAACCGACACAGGUAGGUUGGUAGAGAAUACCAAGGGGCGCGAGAGAACUCUCUCUAAGGAACUCGGCAAACUGGCCCCGUAACUUCGGAAGAAGGGGCGCCCUCUAAAAAAGGGUCGCAGUGACCAGGCCCAGGCGACUGUUUACCAAAAACACAGGUCUCCGCAAAGUCGAAAGACAAAAUAUGGGGGCUGACGCCUGCCCAGUGCCGGAAGGUUAAGGAAGUUGGUUAUUUCGCAAGAAAAAAGCUGACGACCGAAGCCCCGGUGAACGGCGGCCGUAACUAUAACGGUCCUAAGGUAGCGAAAUUCAUUGUCGAGUAAGUUUCGACCUGCACGAAAGGCGUAACGAUCUGGGCGCUGUCUCGGAGAGAGGCUCGGUGAAAUAGACUUGUCCCGUGAAGAUGCGGACUACUUACACCUGGACAGAAAGACCCUAUGAAGCUUGACUGUAUCUUGGAAUUGGGUUUGGGCUUUUCUUGCGCAGCCUAGGUGGGAGGCUAUGAUGAUUUCCUUCCGGGGAAGUUGGAGCCGUCAUUGAGAGACCACUCUGGAAGAGCUAGAAUCCUAAUGGGGAUCCUUGAAUCAGGACCCUUGAAAGUUUCAGGUGGGCAGUUUAUUUGGGGCGAAUGCCUCCCAAAAGGUAACGGAGGCGUGCAAAGGUUCCCUCAGUCUGGACGGAAAUCAGACAUUGAGUGCAAAGGCAAAAGGGAGCUUGACUGCAAGACCUACAAGUCGAGCAGGGGCGAAAGCCGGCCUUAGUGAUCCGACGGUGCCGUGUGGAAGGGCCGUCGCUCAACGGAUAAAAGUUACUCUAGGGAUAACAGGCUGAUCUUCCCCAAGAGUUCACAUCGACGGGAAGGUUUGGCACCUCGAUGUCGGCUCAUCACAUCCUCGAUCUGUAGUAGGUUCCGAAGGGUUGGGCUGUUCGCCCAUUAAAGUGGUACGUGAGCUGGGUUCAGAACGU